rnacentral:lncRNA from 1 species
AGAAAAGAUAACUUUUUCUGUUACAUCUGAAUUUGAUUGGCAAGCAUGUUGUCCAGUGAGUCUGCAUCUUUGCCCUUAGAAACAGUUAUUUUUAUUUUUUAAAUCCCUUUUUUUCACAGGUGUUGAUCUUUAAUUUUUUUUAUUUAAACAUUUUUUCUUGCCUUCUUCAUUUUUCCUUCAUAUGACUUUGGAAACAUUCUGAUAAACAUCUUACUGCCAUUGUUUAUGGGAAAAAAGUAUAUCUUACAGGUUAGAAUUAGUGGAACAUAAGCAUGUUAAUAUUUUUCCACAGAAUUUUCCAAAUCUUUGCUAACAAAGCAAGUGAUUAGGGAAACUGGGGUUUUCCGUAUCUUUUCUGUGAAUGGUCUAUUUUCGGGGCUUGCCAUGUUUGGCCACCAGAUGGCAGCAUUUGAACAAUAAAUUUUUAAUUGUCUUCCACAAGACAAAGCUGUUUUUGAAGCCCUUUUAUAAAGUAUCUUAUGUUUCAGAAUCAAUGCUUCAAAAUAAAAUAUUUAAG